rnacentral:rRNA from 1 species
AACGUGGGUAACCUGCCUCAUAGAGGGGAAUAGCCUUUCGAAAGGAAGAUUAAUGCCGCAUAAGAUUGUAGUACCGCAUGGUACAGCAAUUAAAGGAGCAAUCCGCUAUGAGAUGGACCCGCGUCGCAUUAGCUAGUUGGUGAGGUAACGGCUCACCAAGGCGACGAUGCGUAGCCGACCUGAGAGGGUGAUCGGCCACAUUGGGACUGAGACACGGCCCAGACUCCUACGGGAGGCAGCAUG